AACGAACGCUGGCGGCAGGCCUAACACAUGCAAGUCGAGCGCACCCUUCGGGGUGAGCGGCGGACGGGGGAGUAACGCGUGGGAACGUGCACUUCUCUGCGGUGUAGCCUCGGGAAACUGAGAGUAAUACCGCAUACGCCCUUUGGGGGAAAGAUUUAUCGGUGAAGGAUCGGCCCGCGUUGGAUUGGGUAGUUGGUGGGGUAAUGGCCCACCAAGCCGACGAUCCAUAGCUGGUUUGAGAGGAUGAUCAGCCACGCUGGGACUGAGACACGGCCCAGACUCCUACGGGAGGCAGCAGUGGAGAAUCUUAGACGAUGGAGGCAACCCUGAUCUAGCCAUGCCGCGGGAGUGAGGAAGGCGUUAGGGUUGUAAAGCUCUUUCAGCUGGGAAGAUAAUGACGGUACCAGCAGAAGAAGCCCCGGCUAACUCCGUG
rnacentral:rRNA from 1 species